UACGUAGGGUGCAAGCGUUAAUCGGAAUUACUGGGCGUAAAGCGUGCGCAGGCGGUUAUGCAAGACAGAUGUGAAAUCCCCGGGCUCAACCUGGGAACUGCAUUUGUGACUGCAUAGCUAGAGUACGGUAGAGGGGGAUGGAAUUCCGCGUGUAGCAGUGAAAUGCGUAGAUAUGCGGAGGAACACCGAUGGCGAAGGCAAUCCCCUGGACCUGUACUGACGCUCAUGCACGAAAGCGUGGGGAGCAAAAGGG
rnacentral:rRNA from 1 species